GGUGAACGCUGGCGGCGUGCCUAAUACAUGCAAGUCGAGCGAACGGACGAUAAGCUUUCUUCUCUGAUGUUAGCGGCUGACGGGUGAGUAACACGUGGAUAACCUACCUCUAAUUCUUGGAUAACUUCGGGAAACCGGAGCUAAUACCGGAUGAUAUUUUGAACCGCAUGGUUCAAAAGUGAAAGACGGUCUUGCUGUCACUUAUAGAUGGAUCCGCGCUGCAUUAGCUAGUUGGUAAGGGAACGGCUUACCAAGGCAACGAUGCAUAGCCGACCUGAGAGGGUGAUUGGCCACAAUGGAAACGAGACACGGUCCCGGAUCCUACGGGAGGCAGCAGGAGGGAAUCAUCCGCAAUGGGCGGAAGCCUGACGGAGCAACGCCGGGGGAGGUAUGAAGGUCUUCGGAGCGUAAAACUCUGUUAUUAGGGAAGAAAAUAUGUGUAAGUAACUGUGCACAUCUUGAAGGUAACUAAUCAGAAAGCCACGGCUAACUACGUG
rnacentral:rRNA from 1 species